AUCUUAUCAUUUUUUUUUUUUUUUGGGCUAUUAACCAUGAGUUUCAAACGGAUCAUCCAGAGAUGCAACAGAUCCAUAUGAACCCAUUUUGAAUUCGGACAAGUCCAUAUGGAUCCAAGCAGGCCUCUAGGGGUUUGAAGCCAGAGUCUAGAGAAACAUUAACGGAAGAGGGAUCCGAGAUGGAGGAUGAAAUUUGAGAGAGUGAAACAUUGCCGAGGAGGAGGGGACUCGCUCCGGCGGCAUAGACGAGUGGAAGGAGCAGAUUUGUAGCCAUGAUGUGGCCGAGACGGCAGGGAGCUUCCAUGGCGGGAAGAUGUUAGAGCUAUCUUAGUGGCGUUUGGGUCCCGGCAUCGUGACGCUACUAUCCAGGCAAUGUUUAGUUGGAGCAGCAAAGUUGGAGGGGCAAAGUUUCACAACAUCCACCCUUAUUGCAAGUUGUUUUAUUGAACAAGCAAUUGAGAUUUUAUCGUAAAAAUGUAAUUAUAUGUGUUGCAAUGAUUGUUUUGUAAAUAGGCAUAAUUUGAUUUUGAAUAAUUUUUGGAUGUGAAUAAUGAAUAUAUUGGUUAUGAAUAAAGUGGUGAUUUGUAGUUCUUUAAUAAA